UAUUAAUGAGUUUAUGAUUGAAACAAUGUAACAUUUCGAUUUGUUAGAUUGUUUCGCGUUAGUAACUUAAGUUAGCAACAUUUAAAUAUAUUAUGUUGGCUUAUAACCUUUCGAAUGGUCAUUCCAAGUCAACUAAAGAUUUCUUGGAACGGCAUCAGUGAAGAAUAGUCACUCUAGAGUAAUUAUUUCUAUACGACCGGACUUCACAGGUAAAGGUCGCUCGUGGGUCCGAAGGUUACCUCCUACCUACUUGAUCACCGCAUCGACACAGAUUUAUCUUGUAAUACUACCCAUCACGUUAAAUUGUAUUACUAAUUGCGCAUUGUUCUUUUUUCAGAUAUUUAUGCUUUGCUAAUUAAUAGAAGUAUAACUUUUUACUACAAUUUACAGUGACGUCAACGCUUUGUUUCUGAGGACAAGAAACAAUGCCACCUCGUACUUUUUAAUAUUUCCUCGGACUAUUUAUACACCGCAUUCGUGAUAUGCAUAAUAUUUUUGUAAUAAACAAAUCUGGAAUACUUAUUUUCAUAAAUAAAUACAAAACGUCAAGCGAACAAUUAACACAAGGAAGCAAAAUAAAAAUUAUUAACGUUACAAGAAUGUAUGAUAACAUGAAGAUAUCAUAUGAUUACUAUGUUAAUGUUUAGCGAACAUGGUGUAUCACUUAUUAAUAUUUCAUGUUAAUAAUAAGAAACAUUUCGUAUAAUGUAUUGCGCAAAGUAGUACAUACACAGAUUGUUACGAUAUGGGCAAGUUAUCGUACAGGAUUUCAUACAUCGUUAUCGACAAAACGGUCACAAAAAGUAACGAAUUCAAAGAAUUUGUGUGUCGCGCCAGGUUCUCGGCAAACUUAAGAACCUGUUCGAAGGAAGUUCCGCCAUGAUGGUAAAGGAAGUUGCCAUAUUACCGUAGUUUAUAUUUAAAUUUUUAUUUUAGAGCAGAGGAAAUAGUCUUUUUUAAGCUAAGAAAUCAUUGAAAAUCUCCACUUUCAAACUUCAGUCUCAUUUCAUAAAAGUUUAGGAAGCCCUGAUUUAGAAGUUAUGAAGUUCUGAAUAUCAAAGGCUUAAUUACCAAACUCAUAAUUUUUUAGGGUAAAUAAGUUAUAGGAAAAAUUGUAAUCUAUUGCAAAAAGUUAUUUAUUGCAAAUUGUUUUUUACAUGAUACAUGUUAUACAUUAAUUUAUUAUACAAGUAUCAGUAAAGCAUAUCAUUAAUAUUGCCAAUAUUCAUAGUAUCAUAACUACUAUUAUAUUAUUGAUACAAUUUCAUCAGCAUCGAAAUAUCUAUUUACGAAUUAAUAAUCUUAUUUGUAUUAUUGUAUCGCUGUUAAAUCUUUUACAGACAUUUAAAAAUAUUUGCAGAAAGUCCCGUUUUAGUUGCUGUUCGUUUAAAGAUUUGAUGUAAACUAAGUGAAAUAUUGCUUGAAAAAAUAUAUUAUAUUCCACACAGCUAUAUUUUUAGAAUGUUUUUAAGACUCGUAAUAUCAAUUGUUAUCAGUUAUUUACAGUAGUAAAUAACAUUUAUUCGUACAAGAAAUUGAAACUGAUAAUCUUUCUGCUUCCAAAGAGUCAAGUCUUACAGAAUUAUCUCAUUGAUACAAUAAUUAUGUUCGUUCUUAGUUAUAAUGCCAGGUACUUUUGUUUCUUACUUAAUUUACUUCUACGAAGAUCAAAGAUAAGUGCGCUUACAUUUUCGAAUUUAAGACACAAUUCAGAAUAUCAAUUGUCAUAGUGUAAGUAUCAAAUAGCAAAAGAUACUAACUGUAAUAUUAAGUGCA